GUGUGCUGUGAGGCAUGCUGGAGGUAUCAGAAGUGCGAAUGCUGACAUAAGUAACGAUAAAGCGGGUGAAAAGCCCGCUCGCCGGAAGACCAAGGGUUCCUGUCCAACGUUAAUCGGGGCAGGGUGAGUCGACCCCUAAGGCGAGGCCGAAAGGCGUAGUCGAUGGGAAACAGGUUAAUAUUCCUGUACUUGGUGUUACUGCGAAGGGGGGACGGAGAAGGCUAUGUUGGCCGGGCGACGGUUGUCCCGGUUUAAGCGUGUAGGCUGGUUUUCCAGGCAAAUCCGGAAAAUCAAGGCUGAGGCGUGAUGACGAGGCACUACGGUGCUGAAGCAACAAAUGCCCUGCUUCCAGGAAAAGCCUCUAAGCAUCAGGUAACAUCAAAUCGUACCCCAAACCGACACAGGUGGUCAGGUAGAGAAUACCAAGGCGCUUGAGAGAACUCGGGUGAAGGAACUAGGCAAAAUGGUGCCGUAACUUCGGGAGAAGG
rnacentral:rRNA from 1 species